GCUAACGCCCACACGUGUGGGCGUUAACAUUUCCAAUACAAUUUGCUAGAGGAAACAAAUAACAAAUUUUAAGGAAACAAAUAACUGACAUUAAGGGGGAAAAUCCAAUUUACUAAUACACAUGAAUCAUGAUGGAAUCAGAACUUUCCUAAUACUCCUACAUCGCAAAUCACCACAUAUUCACUUGUCGUGGCUCCCGUUCCACGAAUAGGAAAUUCCCAGCAGCUUCGACCCCUUUCACACACGACCAUGGGUCAAUGGCGCCGCUGCCCAUCGCCGCCAUGCCACACGCGAGGGGGCUCUACCAGUCGACCUGGCCGCCUCGCUCCCUCGCGCCCGUGUGCCGGGGAGCGACACCGCGCGACGCAGACCGCUGGCCGCCGCGUGCGCCGGGCACGCCUCAGCCGGGAGCAGAGGUAUCGGGGCCGGGGGCCACCGCGCGCACUAUGCGCUAGCCGUGCCUCCAGUGGGUCGGUGCAGCCAAGGUCGCCGUCUCGUCGGGGGCAACGUGCGGGUGCGGGCGUCACGGGUCGCCGUCGUCGUGGACGGUGAGCGUGCCGAGGCUGCCGCUUGCGCGUGCAGGCCGGGCGUCGAGCCGCAUCAACGUCGUUGAGGUCGCCGACAGCGGCAGGUGCUAGGGGCCUCCUCCGCCGCGUGAUGCGGCUGUGCUGCGGAGAGCCGGGCCGAGGGCCACUCGUAGGAGCAGCGCGUCGUGGCUGUGGUCUCCACCACGACGGGAGGACUGGUGCUACUGCAUUCCUCUUCCACGAGGAUAUUAUUGCUGCAGUGAUGGCGAGCGGCACCGGCCGGUAGUACCAGCCCCAAUGGUGGAUGGACCAGGAGAGACAUUGAAGCCGUGGACACAUAGUACAAUCAGCUGAUGAACUCUCCACGGAGCCCAUAGUAAAAAAGCUCUCCCUCUCCUGCCGGCUUGCAUCUCAAUUAUUUAUUUUUGCUGCUCGCUGUUCCACAUAUCAAUGCAUUCACACGGUGAUACAACUUGAUUCAAGUGCUUGCAUACAAGUAGAAUUGCUAUUUUUUGUGCCAAAAAUUGAUUUGUUAUCCUGAACUUUUGUCUGCUUGUUUCCACUGUGAUGCAGACAGAAAUGAUAUAUUAUCGGGUAAAUUACGCAUUAGCUGAGAGCGGUAUGAAUGUAUAUUGGGAAUAAAAAAAACUAUUUUCUUUAGUUGUACUGCUCUUGUUUAUGUAUGCUGAAUUACAAGCGACCAAUGAGCAUGGAGAUAUAAUGAUCAGUGAUACAAGUGGUGGUGAUAGGGAGGCUUUUGUUUCAGCUUGUUUAUUUUCGUUUUUGAUACAUGGAUACUGGAUUCAUAGCUCUCCUGGGCAAUCAGUACACGGCCAUAAGUCUGAUCGAUGUGGUGGGCAAUCAGUACACGGCCAUAAGUCUGAUCGAUGUGGUGGGGAUGGUCUCUGAUGUUGGAUAAUAUCUGUUUUCUCUUCUUGAUUGUAGGUCAGUCUCAUAUAACUUAUAUGCCUAUGCUUUGGUUAAUGCAUACUCACUACGGGUAUGGUCUAUUAUUGAUGUUCAUACACAGAAUUGGUUUUGCCAAAUUAUGUUCGAUUAACAUGUUGUUAUAAUAAUAGAAAGCUUUUGCAAAAUUCUGCAUGAUGUCGUAUUAAGCUUGAUGGAACUAACCUCCCAAAAUGGCAAUCUCUAUCGGUGUUUUUUUAUCUCUGUUGAUAAGUUUUGAUCUCAGGUUGCACGUAAAGUUCUUGACCCAUAUUCUAAAUACCACAUAUAAUCUUUGAUUGUUACUUUGAAUACAUAUGAUGUUGAAUCUGUCUCCUUUGGAUCUCCAAAUGAUUUGCAAUGUUGGAUACCAGAAAAUAGAUUGAGCAGCCAUCACACAUUAGACUAAUAAUAUAUGGCAUGUUACCUGGCCGUUCUCUUUAUACACAAUAGUAUAGUUAUAUAUACCAACUGUAGAAAAAUAUUCAUUUGCCACUGAAACUUAUAUUUGUUUUCUAUUUCGGAAAUUAAGAGCAUCUACAAUCAGACCCCUCAAGUAUCCCAUUUGAGAGUCCGGUCAUUGUCCUGGACAGAAAAGAGAAGAAAAAAGGCCACCCAAUCACAAUCCCUACUUUGUCUGGGCAUGUGAGGAGCAUAUAAGGAUGUCCGAGCUGUUCGGGCAUGUUCUCCAAGGAGCACCCAGGUUAAUGUGCACCUGGGAAAAAUAAAACUAAUCAUGUGCAUGGUGGCAAAUAGAGAUGGGGAAGCAGGAGGAAGAUGCUGGUGUUUGUCCGACGCAAUCUGAAAGCAUGCUUAAAAUCAAUGAAAAUAGAACAAAAAUUUACUAUCAUUCUCUCAAACCUUACACUGAACUUGCUACUAAGGAAGGUAUGCAUGAUGCAUAUCAAGUAAGUCCUGUCCGCAAUUGUUUUAUCUUCCACAAUUGUUUCUUGUGUCACUACUGUUAGAGUUCAAAAUGUCCAAAACAAGAUAACAUUUACCGAUGCUGCUAAAUGACCGGUUCAAAAUAAAUAGAUCAGCAGUUUUCCAGUUUUAUCAGUUUCACAUGGAUGUAUCCCUUGUUGUAGGCAGCCAACCCACUGCAAGGUGUGUGCCCUCGAGCAAUUCUUACUCUGUAUUGGUAACAAUAACUGGAAUUGGCUUCUUUUGCUUUACAAUUAGUAGUAUUGAAGAUUACUUCCUUGCUGUUUCACCACUAAAAUUGAGGUGAUUUCAAAUGAAUUUAGAGUUCCAAAGUUUGAGAUUCUAGCAGGGAAAAAUGAUUUGGUAACCGAAGAUAAACAGUCUGGACUUUACUAUUGUUUGGUCUAUUGGAAUCCGAGACUUGACCAUGAACCCAUGAUCAUAUUGGUUUCCUUUGAAAGAACAUGAGAUAUCUUGUUUAUUAUGAUUCACUCAUGGAAGCAUGCUUCGUUUAUUUUUUUGCGUCAUCUGCCUCACGAGCCGUCCAAUCGGUCGUGGUCGUGCGGCGCUUGGUUUGUCUCGCGCCACCGUCCUCCUUGGUGCCAUAAAGGUCUCACCUAGACGCUCGGUUACAUCACACAUUUCUCUCGCAAGUAAAAAAUCCCUACAACUUUCUAGAUCUGGCGGCACAGCCUGACACGACCGGCUGUAAGCUUCCGCAGCGGCGAAGCCGAGGCUGCGACGGGGAGCGGAGACGUGAGCAUCCAUGUCUUAGAGAAUCGACGGGACGCUCCGCCGCGCAGGUACUCAUCUCACCUCCACAUGAUUUGACGACAUUGACGUGUGGCAAUAUCUCACCUCCACAUGAUUCGACGACAUUGACGUGUGUGGCAAUGUUGCGGUGCAUGCUUCAACGGCCGCACCGACGCUUUGACGGCCAUGAUGACAAGGCGUGCUUCGAUGGCAUUGAUGGACACUGCAAUGCUAUGACAUGUGCUUCAACGAACACGACGAUGAGACGUGUUACGACGACGGCAUCGUUGACAACAACCGCGAUGCUGUGAGGCAUGCUUUCACGGUGAUGCUUCGACUGGCCAUGGCAACAAGGUGUGCUUCGACGACAGUUGAUGAUGCAUGCUUCGACGGCAGGUGCCCGUCCGCUGUUCUAUGAAGGCUUGUUUGAAGGCUUAUUUUUGUGCUAGAAUGAUGGCGGACGUGCUGGACGCUUGCUGGUGCGGGCCGAGUGGAAGAGUGUGAUGUGAGAGAAAGGGUACGGGGUGUUUGCCUGUUGCGUGAGUAGGAUGGGAAGAUGGAGAUAAUCAAAGGGUCACGCACGGCUGUACAUGCGGUUGAUCUUUUUCUAAGAUUAACCAGCUGAUUUGUACCAAAUGAUAGAAGAAAAUGAUUCCAAAUCACAACAUUUCAUUCGUUCAUAUGGAAUUACAACAAGUUCUCACUGA